rnacentral:rRNA from 1 species
UGGGGAAUUUUGGACAAUGGGCGAAAGCCUGAUCCAGCAAUGCCGCGUGUGUGAAGAAGGCCUUCGGGUUGUAAAGCACUUUUGUCCGGAAAGAAAUCCUUGGCUCUAAUACAGUCGGGGGAUGACGGUACCGGAAGAAUAAGCACCGGCUAACUACGUGCCAGCAGCCGCGGUAAUACGUAGGGUGCAAGCGUUAAUCGGAAUUACUGGGCGUAAAGCGUGCGCAGGCGGUUUGCUAAGACCGAUGUGAAAUCCCCGGGCUCAACCUGGGAACUGCAUUGGUGACUGGCAGGCUAGAGUAUGGCAGAGGGGGGUAGAAUUCCACGUGUAGCAGUGAAAUGCGUAGAGAUGUGGAGGAAUACCGAUGGCGAAGGCAGCCCCCUGGGCCAAUACUGACGCUCAUGCACGAAAAGCGUGGGGAGCAAAACAGGAUUAGAUACCCUGGUAGUCCACGCCCUAAACGAUGUCAACUAGUUGUUGGGGAUUCAUUUCCUUAGUAACGUAGCUAACGCGUGAAGUUGACCGCCUGGGGAGUACGGUCGCAAGAUUAAAACUU